UACGGGGGGGGGCAAGCGUUGUUCGGAAUUACUGGGCGUAAAGGGUGCGUAGGCGGUUUGGUAAGUCUCUUGUGAAAUCUAUGGGCUCAACUCAUAGUCUGCAAGGGAAACUGCCGGGCUUGAGUGUGGGAGAGGUGAGUGGAAUUUCCGGUGUAGCGGUGAAAUGCGUAGAUAUCGGAAGGAACACCUGUGGCGAAAGCGGCUCACUGGACCACAACUGACGCUGAUGCACGAAGGUCAGGGGAGCAAACGGG
rnacentral:rRNA from 1 species